rnacentral:lncRNA from 1 species
GGUCCCUUGCGGGAGAGUGACCGUAUUCGAGUGCUGCCCUCGGGCACCCUGCACAUCGAGGCAGCCGAGACAACUGACGCCACCAACUACACCUGCCACGCGCACAACCUGUACGGAAGGGACGCUGUCCACUACACUGUCCGAGUGCACGCGAACAUAUCUCACAAAUCACCUCGGAGACCUGCCUCCGUGAGCGUGCUGUCGACCACGUCGAACAGUAUCACGCUGGGAUGGCUCAACAGCAACACCACCAAGGGAGUGCACGUGCCCAAGGUCAAAGAGUACGAGGUGCACUACAAGAGGCAGCAGGGCUCCUGGGACUCGGUGCGUGUCGGUCCUCCGCAGCCAAGGUCCGACGGCAAUGCUGGAGCGAGAGGCACACCUUCGCCGUCCAGGCUGGCCUCGGCCACUCGCGUCAACGGCAGCUGGUUGGCCCACGAGCUGACCGGCCUGUCGUGCGGCACGCAGUACCACAUCUACGUCGUGGCCGUGGUCGACAGACGUCGCAGCGAUCCCAGUGACACCGUGUUCGCAAGG